rnacentral:rRNA from 1 species
UGGGGAAUAUUGCACAAUGGGCGCAAGCCUGAUGCAGCCAUGCCGCGUGUGUGAAGAAGGCCUUCGGGUUGUAAAGCACUUUCAGCGAGGAGGAAGGGUUCAGUGUUAAUAGCACUGUUCAUUGACGUUACUCGCAGAAGAAGCACCGGCUAACUCCGUGCCAGCAGCCGCGGUAAUACGGAGGGUGCAAGCGUUAAUCGGAAUUACUGGGCGUAAAGCGCACGCAGGCGGUUUGUUAAGUCAGAUGUGAAAUCCCGCGCUUAACGUGGAAC